rnacentral:ribozyme from 1 species
GAAUUAAAAAAAACAAAAAAAAACAAAAAAACAAAAAACAAGAAAGCUUCACACUGUUGUCACAAUUUUAAUACUUGUCAAUUAUUUCCAUCA